UACGAAGGUCCCAAGCGUUAUCCGGAUUUAUUGGGUUUAAAGGGUGCGUAGGCGGGCUAUUAAGUCAGUGGUGAAAGCCCCGAGCUUAACUUGGGAACUGCCAUUGAUACUGAUGGUCUUGAGUACAUUUGAGGUGGGCGGAAUGUGUCAUGUAGCGGUGAAAUGCUUAGAUAUGACACAGAACACCGAUGCGAAGGCAGCUCACUAAACUGUAACUGACGCUGAAGGCACGAAAGCGUGGGGAGCAAACAGG
rnacentral:rRNA from 1 species